UACGAAGGGGGCUAGCGUUGCUCGGAAUCACUGGGCGUAAAGCGCACGUAGGCGGAUCUUUAAGUCAGGGGUGAAAUCCUGGAGCUCAACUCCAGAACUGCCUUGAUACUGGGGAUCUCGAGUCCGGAAGAGGUGAGUGGAACUCCGAGUGUAGAGGUGAAAUUCGUAGAUAUUCGGAAGAACACCAGUGGCGAAGGCGGCUCACUGGUCCGGUACUGACGCUGAGGUGCGAAAGCGUGGGGAGCAAACAGG
rnacentral:rRNA from 1 species